AGGGUGGUGGUGGGGUGAUUAUGUGGGGCAGAGUAGCACUGUGCAAACCCUCUGCCCUCCCUGCCCUGCAGCCCUGGGCUGUGCUGAGAGCUUGUGCCUUCCUCCUCCUUCGCAAUGGAAGCUCACAAGGCAGGCAAGGAUUGAAACAGGAGCCAAUGGCUGAAGCAGGAGCUGGAUGCAGCUAUGAGGAGAUCUAUAUGGAGCUCUUUCAGCGGCAAAGUGAACACCAAAAUACCAAUCCUUCUUGAGAAGAAGUAUGGUACUAGAGGUGGAAGAAAACAGAGGACUUGUUAGAAGAAGAGUGGCCGACAAAAAGUAAACCCCAAGCACAAAACUACAGUGGCAAGGUGGCCUAAACCUUCACAAGGGCUUAGGCAGAAAUGAUAAAAUUACAAGAUUUUUUGAACAUGAAAUUUGGCCACAUUUUGUGUCAGGUGAUGUAUUUGAUUUGAAGGUGAAUAUUCCCUAGAGCUCAGCCUUUGUGUAAAUCUGUGGUUCUGAUGCAGGCAGCCAAUGCUGCUGCAGUAGUACCUCUAAUGGAUAUGUGCAGUUUAAGUGACAGUCAACUCAAGGUAUGCUUAUCAUGUCCUA